rnacentral:tRNA from 1 species
GGGCGCGUAGCUCAGUCGGCUAGAGCGCUUCCCUUACAAGGAAGAAGUCGGGGGUUCAAGUCCCUCCGCGCCCA